rnacentral:rRNA from 1 species
GAUGAACGCUGACAGAAUGCUUAACACAUGCAAGUCAACUUGAAUUUGGGUUUUUAACUUAGAUUUGGGUGGCGGACGGGUGAGUAACGCGUAAAGAACUUGCCUCACAGUUAGGGACAACAUUUAGAAAUGAAUGCUAAUACCUGAUAUUAUGAUUUUAAGGCAUCUUAGAAUUAUGAAAGCUAUAAGCACUGUGAGAGAGCUUUGCGUCCCAUUAGCUAGUUGGAGAGGUAACAGCUCACCAAGGCGAUGAUGGGUAGCCGGCCUGAGAGGGUGAACGGCCACAAGGGGACUGAGACACGGCCCUUACUCCUACGGGAGGCAGCAGUGGGGAAUAUUGGACAAUGGACUGAGAGUCUGAUCCAGCAAUUCUGUGUGCACGAUGAAGUUUUUCGGAAUGUAAAGUGCUUUCAGUUGGGAAGAAAAAAAUGACGGUACCAACAGAAGAAGUGACGGCUAAAUACGUGCCAGCAGCCGCGGUAAUACGUAUGUCACGAGCGUUAUCCGGAUUUAUUGGGCGUAAAGCGCGUCUAGGUGGUUAUGUAAGUCUGAUGUGAAAAUGCAGGGCUCAACUCUAUAUUGCGUUGGAAACUGUAUAACUAGAGUACUGGAAAGGUAAGCGGAACUACAAGUGUAGAGGUGAAAUUCGUAGAUAUUUGUAGGAAUGCCGAUGGGGAAGCCAGCUUACUGGACAGAUACUGACGCUAAAGCGCGAAAGCGUGGGUAGCAAACAGG